AGAGUUUGAUCCUGGCUCAGAUUGAACGCUGGCGGCAUGCCUAACACAUGCAAGUCGAACGGAAACGAUGGGAGCUUGCUCCCAGGCGUCGAGUGGCGGACGGGUGAGUAAUACAUAGGAAUCUGCCCAGUAGCGGGGGACAACCUGGUGAAAACCAGGCUAAUACCGCAUACGACCUACGGGUGAAAGCAGGGGAUCUUCGGACCUUGCACUACUGGAUGAGCCUAUGUCAGAUUAGCUUGUUGGUGGGGUAAUGGCCUACCAAGGCGACGAUCUGUAGCUGGUCUGAGAGGACGAUCAGCCACACUGGGACUGAGACACGGCCCAGACUCCUACGGGAGGCAGCAGUGGGGAAUAUUGCACAAUGGGCGAAAGCCUGACGCAGCAAUGCCGCGUGUGUGAAGAAGGCCUGCGGGUUGUAAAGCACUUUCAGUAGAGAAGAAAAGCUUACGGUUAAUACCCGUGGGUCUUGACGUUACCUACAGAAGAAGCUCCGCUAACU
rnacentral:rRNA from 1 species